UGUGUCUGAUGCAAGAACUUGAUGUUCACAGGGAAGGUAGGCAGGAAGGUAAGAAGCAAGAGAGUGGAAGACAGCAAGAGCAUGCUGGAGCCCUGGAGGACCAGUUAGAACCCGUCAGUCCUCACUGCUUCUGACCCGACCGUGUGUUUGCCCUUCAUCACUGCGCUACCCAAACAUUGGCUCAGCUCCUGGAGACACAGCAUCAUGAAUGGCCACUUGCCCAACAUAUAGACUGCAUUUGGGAAGACAGCACCGGAAAUCCACUUGCAUCACGUUAUGAUCUCAUUGAUGGAUUAAUGUGCUUGAUGAAGAAGUUAGAGCUCUCAUGAUUCGAUCACUUUCCCCAAGCCCAUC